UCAGAACCGGAAAGAGUUGGAGUGGAUGAAGUGGGAAUUGAAUCUGGUCCAAGCUCGGAUGUGGAAAUGAGAAGUCCGGCUUGGUUGAGUCUGAACUAGAUCAGGCCGGCCGCGUCCUGAACCUCCGUUUGGCCGGCUUGAUCUUGAAUCUUCAACUGGACCAUCUCCUCAAUCAGCAGCUGGUCCUGGUCAGUCUGUCCAUCUCGAUCAAGGAUUUGUUGGACAGCUUUGGUGAAACCUUCUCGCAAGGCCCUGGUUCCACUCCGGGUAGUCGGACCGCGCCUAACUAUGGGAACCUCUACUUGGAUGGCCUCAUCAUUCCCUCCCUCUUGAAGAGGUUCUGGCCUCGAAGAGGGAGUCUGCGAAACGGCUACCACAUCCAAGGAAUGCAGCAGGCGCGCAAAUUACCCAAUCCUGACACUGGGAGGUAGUGACAAUUAUUUCACAAUACCGGGCUCUUUGAGUCUGGUAAUUGGAAUGAGUACAAUCUAAAUCCCUUAACGAGGAUCAAUUGGAGGGCAAGUCUGGUGCCUGCAGCCGCGGUAAUUCCAGCUCCAAUAGGGUAUAUUUAAGUUGUGGUAGUUAAAAAGCUCGUAGUUGAACCUUGGGAUGGGUCGCCCGGUCCGCCUUCGAUGAGCACCAGUUGCCUUGUCUCUUUUGUCGGCGAUAUGCUCCUGGCCUUAACUGGCCGGGUCGUGCCUCCGGUGCUUUUACUUUGAAGAAAUUAGAGUGCUCAAAGCAAGCCUACGCGCUGUAUACAUUAGCAUGGGAUAACAUCAUAGCAUUUUGAUCCUAUUGUGUUGUCCUUCGGGAUCGGAGUAAUGAUUAACAUGGACAGUCGGGGGCAUUCGUAUUUCAUAGUCAGAGGUGAAAUUCUUCGAUUCAUUAAUCAAGAAUGAAAGUUGGGGGCUCGAAGACGAUCAGAUACCGUCCUAGUCUCCACCAUAAACGAUGCCGACCAGGGGAUCAGCGGGUGUUGCUUUUAGGACUCCGCUGGCACCUUAUGAUAAAUCAAUUUUUUUUGGGUUCGGGGGGUGUAUGGUUUGAAGGCUGAAACUUAAAGGAAUUGUGGAAGGGCACCACCAGGAGUGGAGCCUGCGGCUUAAUUUGACUCAACACGGGGAAACUUACCAGGUCCAGACAUAGUAAGGAUUGACAAACUAAGAGCUGUUUCUUGAUUCUAUGAGUGGUGAUGCAUGGCCGUUCUUAGUUGGUGGAGCGAUUUUCCUGGUUAAUUCCAUUAACAACGAGACCUCAGCCUGCUAACUAGCUACGUGGAGGCAUCCCUUCACGACCGGCUUCUUAGAGGGACUAUGACCGUUUAUGCCAAGGAAGUUUGAGGCAAUAACAGUUCUCCGAUGCCCUUAGAUGUUCUGGGCCGCACGCGCGCUACACUGAUAUAUUCAACGAGUUCACACCUUGGCGACAGGCUCGGGUAAUCUUUGAAAUUUCAUCGUGAUGGGGAUAGAUAAUUGCAAUUGUUGGUCUUCAACGAGGAAUUCCUAGUAAGCGCUGAAGUCAUCAGCUCGCAUUGACUACGCCCCCCGCCCUUUGUACACACACCACCGCCGCUCUACCGAUUGAAUGAUCCGGUGAAGUGUUGGAUCGCAGCGGCGUGGGUGGUUUGCUGUCUGUGGACGCCACGAGAAGUCCACUAAACCUUAUCAUUUAGAGGAAGGAGAAGUCGUAACAAGGUUAUCGUAGGUGAACCUGCAGAAG
rnacentral:rRNA from 1 species